UUGGUCAUGCUAGAAAGAGCGUAUGGUGGAUGCCUUGGCACUAAGAGCCGAUGAAAGACGUGAUAAGCUGCGAAAAGCUUCGGGGAGGAGCAAAUAUCCUUUGAUCCGGAGAUCUCUGAAUGGGGAAACCCACUUGAGCAAACCUCAAGUAUCCUAACGCCAAUACAUAACGUUAGGAGGGGAACCCGGUGAACUGAAACAUCUAAGUAGCCGGAGGAAGAGAAAACAACAUGUGAUUCUGUGAGUAGCGGCGAGCGAAAACGGAAGAGCCCAAACCGGGAUGCGUGCAUCCCGGGGUUCGGACCGCAUAAUUGAUUCAACAAAUUUAGCAGAACGGUUUUGGGAAAGCCGGCCAGAGAGGGUGAAAGCCCCGUAAGCGAAAGAUGAGUUGACAUGGCGGUAUCCAGAGUAGGUCGAGACACGUGGAACCUUGACUGAACAUGCGGGGACCACCCCGUAAGGCUAAAUACUCCUUAGUGACCGAUAGCGCAUAGUACUGUGAAGGAA
rnacentral:rRNA from 1 species